GAUCAAAACAAUGCUCGGUCGCUUUGCCGGCCAGUGACUGUUUAGUUUGAUCAUAAUAUUAUUUUGUCAGUGCACGAGCGCCGGCGCGUCUCUCACCGAAACUUGCUACAAAUUAGUUAUAAUUAAAUUAAUAAUAUUCGUUACGUCUUCGGAUAUAUCUCGAUAAACAUGGAUACUCCUAAUAAAUCUGAAACAAAGAACCAAACAGGAUCACAGAUUGCGAGCUAUAAUCCAUGGAAUUUGUUAUUUAAUUCAAGACGGCGUACAGAAAGUGAAAACAGCAGCUCAUCAACAGGCAGCUAUCAAACAAAUACUCAGUUUGGGUCGUUCCAGAGACAGACGAGCAAAAAUAACGAGGAAUAUUUGUGGAUGAUAUGGCGUUCAUAGUCACUCACCCAGCGACAAUGAUUCCUAAUUAUUGUUGUUAGUUUUUAUAUUCAACAUGAAAAUUUGGGUCACAAGGGUGGAGACAGCACGAGUAUGAUGGAACAUGUUGCGUUCCUACCGACCUGGUUCCUGGUUGCCUGGCUGGGGACCUGCAUACUGUUCAGCCCUUUCGCAAUAUUUUUCGUAUUGUGCCUACCACAAUUCCCCCUUCUAGUCUUAAGAAGGCUCUGCUAUAUACCCUUCGAGUAUAUUUGAGGAUGCCAAUUAAAUUUAUAUGAUUUUUUUAGUUUAGUGUGUAAAUAGUGUAUAAUAUUUGUAAGUAAUAAUAAUGAAUAAAUACUUAAGUGAGGCAAUUUG